AGUUUGAUCAUGGCUCAGAGCGAACGCUGGCGGCAGGCUUAACACAUGCAAGUCGAGCGGGCGUAGCAAUACGUCAGCGGCAGACGGGUGAGUAACGCGUGGGAACGUACCUUUUGGUUCGGAACAACACAGGGAAACUUGUGCUAAUACCGGAUAAGCCCUUACGGGGAAAGAUUUAUCGCCGAAAGAUCGGCCCGCGUCUGAUUAGCUAGUUGGUGAGGUAAUGGCUCACCAAGGCGACGAUCAGUAGCUGGUCUGAGAGGAUGAUCAGCCACAUUGGGACUGAGACACGGCCCAAACUCCUACGGGAGGCAGCAGUGGGGAAUAUUGGACAAUGGGGGCAACCCUGAUCCAGCCAUGCCGCGUGAGUGAUGAAGGCCCUAGGGUUGUAAAGCUCUUUUGUGCGGGAAGAUAAUGACGGUACCGCAAGAAUAAGCCCCGGCUAACUUCGUGCCAGCAGCCGCGGUAAUACGAAGGGGGCUAGCGUUGCUCGGAAUCACUGGGCGUAAAGGGUGCGUAGGCGGGUCUUUAAGUCAGGGGUGAAAUCCUGGAGCUCAACUCCAGAACUGCCUUUGAUACUGAGGAUCUUGAGUUCGGGAGAGGUGAGUGGAACUGCGAGUGUAGAGGUGAAAUUCGUAGAUAUUCGCAAGAACACCAGUGGCGAAGGCGGCUCACUGGCCCGAUACUGACGCUGAGGCA
rnacentral:rRNA from 1 species